rnacentral:rRNA from 1 species
CUCCUACGGGAGGCAGCAUGGGGAAUAUUGGACAAUGGGCGCAAGCCUGAUCCAGCAAUGCCGCGUGGGUGAAGAGGGUUUUCGGAUUGUAAAGCCCUUUUGGCAGGGACGAUGAUGACGGUACCUGCCAGAAUAACGCUCCGGCUAACUUCGUGCCAGCCGCCGCGGUAAUAC